rnacentral:rRNA from 1 species
ACGAAGGGUGCAAGCGUUAAUCGGAAUUACUGGGCGUAAAGCGUGCGCAGGCGGUUUUGUAAGUCUGUCGUGAAACCCCCGGGCUCAACCUGGGAAUUGCGAUGGAGACUGCAAGGCUAGAAUCUGGCAGAGGGGGGUAGAAUUCCACGUGUAGCAGUGAAAUGCGUAGAGAUGUGGAGGAACACCGAUGGCGAAGGCAGCCUUCUGGGCCAACACUGACGCUCAUGCACGAAAGCGUGGGGAGCAAACAGGA